UCUUUGAUGGUCCAACGGUUAAGAUUUCCGCUUGUCAAGUACACCGCGGGAGACCGGGGUUCGACUCCCCGUCAGAGAG
rnacentral:tRNA from 2 species